rnacentral:rRNA from 1 species
UACGAAGGGGGCUAGCGUUGCUCGGAAUUACUGGGCGUAAAGCGCACGUAGGCGGUCUUUUAAGUCGGUGGUGAAAUCCUGGAGCUCAACUCCAGAACUGCCUUCGAUACUGGAAGACUUGAGUCCGGGAGAGGUGAGUGGAACUGCGAGUGUAGAGGUGAAAUUCGUAGAUAUUCGCAAGAACACUAGUGGCGAAGGCGGCUCACUGGCCCGGUACUGACGCUGAGGUGCGAAAGCGUGGGGAGCAAACAGG